GAUGAACGCUGGCGGCGUGCCUAACACAUGCAAGUCGAACGAAGCGAUUUAACGGAAGUUUUCGGAUGGAAGUUGAAUUGACUGAGUGGCGGACGGGUGAGUAACGCGUGGGUAACCUGCCUUGUACUGGGGGACAACAGUUAGAAAUGACUGCUAAUACCGCAUAAGCGCACAGUAUCGCAUGAUACAGUGUGAAAAACUCCGGUGGUACAAGAUGGACCCGCGUCUGAUUAGCUAGUUGGUAAGGUAACGGCUUACCAAGGCGACGAUCAGUAGCCGACCUGAGAGGGUGACCGGCCACAUUGGGACUGAGACACGGCCCAAACUCCUACGGGAGGCAGCAGUGGGGAAUAUUGCACAAUGGGCGAAAGCCUGAUGCAGCGACGCCGCGUGAGUGAAGAAGUAUUUCGGUAUGUAAAGCUCUAUCAGCAGGGAAGAAAAUGACGGUACCUGACUAAGAAGCCCCGGCUAACUACGUGCCAGCAGCCGCGGUAAUACGUAGGGGGCAAGCGUUAUCCGGAUUUACUGGGUGUAAAGGGAGCGUAGACGGUAAAGCAAGUCUGAAGUGAAAGCCCGCGGCUCAACUGCGGGACUGCUUUGGAAACUGUUUAACUGGAGUGUCGGAGAGGUAAGUGGAAUUCCUAGUGUAGCGGUGAAAUGCGUAGAUAUUAGGAGGAACACCAGUGGCGAAGGCGACUUACUGGACGAUAACUGACGUUGAGGCUCGAAAGCGUGGGGAGCANACAGG
rnacentral:rRNA from 1 species